AUUAAUGAAUUUUGAAAGGGGUUGUAGCUGGCCGUCUCUUUGGGGCGGCAUGUGCACGCCCUGAUCACUAUCCAUCUCACACACCUGUGCACACACUGUAGGUUGGCUUGUGAUCGGAGCUACGGUCUUCAUUGACUUUGCUCUGGUUGGAGGCCCUCCUAUGUAUCAUCACAAACUACUUCAGUUUAAAGAAUGUACUCUUGCGUCUAACGCAUUUAAAUACAACUUUCAGCAACGGAUCUCUUGGCUCUCGCAUCGAUGAAGAACGCAGCGAAAUGCGAUAAGUAAUGUGAAUUGCAGAAUUCAGUGAAUCAUCGAAUCUUUGAACGCACCUUGCGCUCCUUGGUAUUCCGAGGAGCAUGCCUGUUUGAGUGUCAUGGAAUUCUCAACUCUAUUUGCUUUUGUGAAUAGAGCUUGGAUUUGGAGGUUUAUUGCUGGUACUUGUGAUCGGCUCCUCUUGAAUGCAUUAGCUCGAACCUUUGCGGAUCAGCUAUCGGUGUGAUAAUUGUCUACGCCGUUGCAGUGAAGCAUAUCAAUGGGCUCGGCUUCCAAUCGUCCUUUACUGGACAAUGACUUUGACCUUUGACCUCAAAUCAGGUAGGA
rnacentral:rRNA from 1 species